rnacentral:rRNA from 1 species
UACGUAGGGCGCAAGCGUUUAUCCGGAAUUAUUGGGCGUAAAGAGCUCGUAGGCGGUUUGUCGCGUCUGCCGUGAAAGUCCGGGGCUCAACUCCGGAUCUGCGGUGGGUACGGGCAGACUAGAGUGAUGUAGGGGAGACUGGAAUUCCUGGUGUAGCGGUGAAAUGCGCAGAUAUCAGGAGGAACACCGGUGGCGAAGGCGGUUCUCUGGGCAUGACCUGACGCUGAGGAGCGAAAGUGUGGGGAGCGAACAGG